CCUACGGGUGGCAGCAGUGGGGAAUAUUGGACAAUGGGCGAAAGCCUGAUCCAGCCAUGCCGCGUGUGUGAAGAAGGCCUUCGGGUUGUAAAGCACUUUCAGUGGGGAAGAAGGCCUUAGGGCUAAUACCCUCGAGGAAGGACAUCACCCACAGAAGAAGCACCGGCUAACUCCGUGCCAGCAGCCGCGGUAAUACGGAGGGUGCGAGCGUUAAUCGGAAUUACUGGGCGUAAAGCGCGCGUAGGCGGUCUGAUAAGCCGGUUGUGAAAGCCCCGGGCUCAACCUGGGAACGGCAUCCGGAACUGUCAGGCUAGAGUGCAGGAGAGGAAGGUAGAAUUCCCGGUGUAGCGGUGAAAUGCGUAGAGAUCGGGAGGAAUACCAGUGGCGAAGGCGGCCUUCUGGACUGACACUGACGCUGAGGUGCGAAAGCGUGGGUAGCAAACAGGAUUAGAUACCCGAGUAGUC
rnacentral:rRNA from 1 species